rnacentral:lncRNA from 1 species
UCUAAAAACUCAAUUUAUUUGAUGAAUCAUUUGUCAUGUCAUCUCAAAAUCCAGCUCUCAUUGAAACAGUGUUACAUAUCCCGUAUCUAAAUAUCUCGUAACAAGUUCCCCGCACUGGAUAUAUUCAUCUUGAUAACGUUAUCUGCUAUCCAUUUAUCUGUAGCGUUGGUUAUCUGAGUGCUCUCAUCAUAACUCGGUUAGCGUUUGAGCUGAAUAUAUCUGUGAGUGAAGUUAGUUACUAUAUUAUCUGGACUUAGAGCUAUGGGUGGUAGCAGUGUUUUGUCGGCCGUGACAGUCCUCUUACUCAUUAGCAGCAUCUCCACAGCACCCACUCCAAGGGACCUGGCUUCUAUGGUGACUGGAGAAACCACGGGUCUGGAAAUACCCACAGAAUUCCUCGCUGGGACUAAUGACGGCAAAGGUGCUUUGCAGGUUGUUGUCAAUAUACGGACUGACAGUCAAGGAAAUAUUGAAGUUAUAACAAAUUAAUACUAUAAAAUCGCUCGAUGAUU